UGAGUUAGCGGGAAUGAAGCUCGUGUUCAUCGACUCCAGACAAUAAAUAAUUCUUCGUUCUUUCAACAAUUAACUAAUUAAUUGCAUAGCUAAUUUUGGAGUGGGAAACAAUUACAAAUUUACUACCCCCAACGUCUACUAUGUCGGGCGGAACGAGGUUAAAGGUAUUAUCCCUAUUUAAAAAGCUGCAUCGAGCAAAGGACAAGGUUUUCGUGGGGGACAGUGUCGCACUAGAUGGUGCCAAGAUGAAGAUCCGAGAAGAGUUUUCAAAACAUAAAGCCAUCACGGAUCCGCAAGAAAUUAACAGUUUGCUAAAAGUGGCGCAAGAAUCGGAAGAAUUAUUGAGGACAAAAGUAGUUCAAUUAUCACAAGUUCGGAAGGAUGUUUAUCAAUUCAGAACGGAACAUCUUCAAGAAAAGUGCUUCAAACUUAAUAUGAAAUGUGAUGAUUGCACGUGUGGAAGAUAGCUCAAUUAACGUAUCAAAAAAAACCUACGACAUGGAAGAAUGUUAGCAGUUUGAAAUGAAAAUGAAAGCGUACUAGUUACAGGAUUGUAAAAUGUAAGAAUGAGGAAGAUAAUCAAGAAAUCUUUAGUGAAAGUUGUGUCAGAUUGGAAUUUAAAUUUUUGUCAGGAUUCUAGUCAUACAGUGCUAUUUAUUGAUUCGUUAAUAAUGAAUGUUUUUACUAGUUUCAAUAAUAAUUGAUCAUGAUGGUUGCUGCAAUCAAUCCUAAUAUUAAGUUAGAUUGUCUACCAAUUGCAAAUUCAGUAAAGAAAUCCGGCUCACAAAAAGUGCAUUCAGGAAAUAAUAAAAGGCUAUAUAACCAGAAUAGUAACUAAAUAUAUGUAUGAUCGAGGAAGCUGUAGCAGUUUUUUUAAGCGGCGGAACCAAGAAGCUACUUAUUGCGAACAAUUUGCCCGUCCAACUUCCGAAGACUCAACUUUUUUUAGUUUUGCUGUCGGAUACGGAUAUCUAAUUUUAAAAUAUAAUUCGAAAUUUUAGUUUUGACUGUUGUAGAGUUACGAGGAUUUCAGAAACGGGUAUAACGCGUAGAUAAGCAAAUAAUGCAUAAUCGAGAAUUUUGUAGCAUGUUUUUUAACUACUUCGCUUCCGCUACUUCAUUCUAUCUGUUUUGCCCGAGUUUAUUAAUCUCUUGACAUCAUGAAACACUUUCGGAAAAUUUAUUCCUGGCGUCAACCUUCAGAAAUGGAAUAAAAUCCAGUAGUAGUUAUAUAUGUUGAA